AUCACUAACGAUGCCACCAGCGAUCAGCCUGAGUUCUUUAAAUGACUCGGCUGGCAGCUUCCGGGAAACCAAAGUUUUUCGGUUCCGGGGGAAGUAUGGUUGCAAAGCUGAAACUUAAAGGAAUUGACGGAAGGGCACCACCAGGAGUGGAGCCUGCGGCUUAAUUUGACUCAACACGGGAAAACUUACCCGGCCCGGACACUGGAAGGAUUGACAGAUUGAGAGCUCUUUCUUGAUUCAGUGGGUGGUGGUGCAUGGCCGUUCUUAGUUGGUGGAGCGAUUUGUCUGGUUAAUUCCGAUAACGAACGAGACUCUAGCCUACUAAAUAGACUACCGGUUCCUAGUGCGCCGGUAGGACUUCUUAGAGGGACAGGCGGCGACUCAGCCGCACGAAACAGAGCAAUAACAGGUCUGUGAUGCCCUUAGAUGUCCGGGGCCGCACGCGCGCUACACUGAAGUGAUCAGCGUGCAUCAGUAACCCUCUCUGUCAAGAGUGGGUAACCCAAUGAACCUUCUUCGUGAUUGGGAUAGGGCAUUGUAAUUAUUGCCCUUGAACGAGGAAUUCCCAGUAAGCGCGAGUCAUAAGCUUGCGUUGAUUACGUCCCUGCCCUUUGUACACACCGCCCGUCGCUACUACCGAUUGAAUGAUUUAGUGAGGUCUUCGGACUGGCUGGUGCAGCUACCUUCGGGUGGCAGCGCUGUGCUGGAAAGAUGCCCAAACUUGAUCAUUUAGAGGAAGUAAAAGUCGUAACAAGGUUUCCGUAGUGACCUGCGGAG
rnacentral:rRNA from 1 species